rnacentral:rRNA from 1 species
CUACGGGAGGCAGCAGUGGGGAAUAUUGGGCAAUGGGGGGAACCCUGACCCAGCGACGCCGCGUGAGGGAAGAAGGUUUUCGGAUCGUAAACCUCUGUUGUACGGGAAGAAGGAAGUGACGGUACC